AGAAAGAAAAAAGAAAGAAAGAAGGAAAGAAAGGUCUCUCUAGCUGCUCCCGAGGAGGCAAGGAGAAAGAAGAGCUGGAUUCAGCCAAGACUGUGGUUAUGCUGGGCGAAUGCGUGAUGCAUGCUCCUCCCACGUGAAGACCCCAGAGCCACCACCGCACCUCGGCUCUUGGCUGAUGACGUGCAGCAAGGCCGGAGGCAAGUUAUCUGCCCCCUGAGACCCAACAUUCCAGGGGAAGCACAGGAUAAAUGAAC